ACAGAUUUUUGCUGGCUUUGUGAACAGCCACAGGUGUGCCAUUUGCACUGGCCAUGUCUUUGAAAGUAUACUUGUGCACUAAUUAACUGCUCCUCACCUGAUGCAGACGUUGCUAUUUCCAUUUGAGAUGCGAGGCCAUCAAGGUGUUUAUAACUUGGAAAAGAAGAUAUAUGAAGCUGCUGUUAGAGGUCUCAUUCCAGUUAAAGGCCCAAUGCCAGUAAAAUUUCCCCUUCCAAAUCCUCGUGAUCCUUUUUCCUUAAAACCAGGGUCUAUUUCAGUGCUAUUCCCUGAGAAAGCUUCUGAAGUGGAGAAAUCAUCAAGUCUCACAGCAGCCAUUGCUGUUGCAUGUGCAGCAGCUACUCAAUUCAACAUGAAAGAUCAAGAUCUCCUAGCAAAUACUGUCCAGAUUAACAAUUUUAAGAAGUGACCAAGUGAACAGCAAACCUUUGGAAGAACAUAAAAAGCUUAUAUGAAGUCUCCAAUGUCAUACCUUCAGUGUCAAAUGAGGCAGAACAAAGCAAUCUCAUCCAGUGUGAGGAAAGCAGUUGCCAAAGUCGAACGCGUAUUCCUGGAGCUCCUGCUAAGGUGUGAAUCCUACUCCUUUAACCUAUAUUCAUUGGUAGUACUUUUUUCCUUAAGUUCUUAAUAAUUUUGUUCUAUGAUCUGUAACAGGCUGUUGCAUCUAAUUCUUAAUACUCAAUGCAAGUCCAAAUUCAUUUGGACUCAUGUUUGGUCAUGAUAAAAAUUAUAGGUAUUGGAUCUAGAUGCUCUUCUGCUAGUUCAGAUUACCUUGAAAGGGUUCUAAUUGGAUCUCUCUCUGAGCUUGGUUUAAUUUUUUUUUAUUUUCUUAUUAUUUUUAUUUGGUGGGACUUGUGUUGUUCUAUUCCUGUGUCAUAAGGUCUAUUGUGAAUAUGCUAUAUUGUUUAAGUGAAUGGAAACAUGUGAUACAAGCAAAACCUAUCUGACCUCAGGCUUGUCUUGCAAGUUACAUUGCCCAAGAAAUAUAUAUCAAAUAAUUUUUCAGGAUGAAGUUUGAGGCUUGUUUGUUGAUUGAUUAAAAUUGAGGUCAGCAUCUAAUUCACAUUGGUCUCUAUAAGUAGUAUGGAGAAGUAGAUAUCACUGAUGAGAGUCAACUGUAACCAUUCUCAUGCAUAAAGAAAGGCUGCUCUGUAUGCACAAGGCUCCCUGCUGUGUAAGGGUCAGGAACUCCUAGUCUAUUAAGGAGCAACCUUAAAUGGAAAAUUGGAACUUGGUUGAGAACAAAGUAAAUGCUUUCUGAAAGAAACAGAAGACAGAAAAACAGACUUUGUUGAUUUUCAUAUGAUUGUUGAUUCAGUGUCCAUUAUUUGACAAGUCUCAUCUUUGGAUUUCUAGAUUUUUUGCUGCUGCUGUUAGAGGGCUGAAGCCAUCCUGAAUUCACGUUGGUUGCUAUGGGAAUAAGUUUUGAACACUAACAGAAGUGACAUGUAGUUCAUUUUUGUUGCGAAAAUUCAAGUCAGCCUCCCAUCAGUUGAAUAUUACUGACUAGCUUGUUACUUUUUGCUGUAUUUUAUUCUUAGCACCCGUGACUAAUUAUUGACAGAUUUGGAUUGAAACUAGCUCAUACUGUGCUCAUAGAAUUGUGGUAAGAGGCUGGAAUUUUUUUUUUGGAAAAAUAUUAUUAAAAAAGUAAUGUGAAAAAAGUUAAUUAAA
rnacentral:misc_RNA from 1 species